rnacentral:tRNA from 1 species
GCGCGAUUAGCUCAGGUGGUUAGAGCGCGUCACUGAUAAUGACGAGGUCCCAG